GAGGGUAUAGCUUAGUGGUAAAGCACGUGCCUAGCAUGCACAAGAUCCUGAGUUCAAUCCCCAGUACCUCCA
rnacentral:tRNA from 1 species